CUAUGACUACGACUAACUGGCCACUGGACUGAAGGAAUAAAUCAAACCUGGAAGAAACACACACUGGACUUUACCAGAAUAACUGCAUCGGUUCACCUUGCGGAAUGUGCUGUCAUCAAUGGCUUCCCUCACCGCAGCUUCCAGUGUGUAUUCCAGUUCAUCAGGAGGGACCGUGCUCAGCUCAUUAAUUGCCUGUCUGAAAAGCAAAGAAAAUGAAGGUAUAGUGUCAGCAGAGGGCAGGAUAACUGGAGAUGUUCCAUACAAAAGAGACUUCUCAUAUUCAGCUGUGGGAACACACACGACAAAGAGUACUCCUGGCAUUGCGAACUGCUGCUACUGCCAGCAACACCUA